AGAUGAACAUGGAUGAGAGCCCUGCCAAGACGGUGCAUCAGUGGGGGCGCUGGCUAAUGUGUGUGCUCAGUAGAGCGAAGCUGUCUCCUGUGCCUGGAUGAAAACUUAAGCAGCCUGAAUGACUUUCCCCACGAUGUUUAGGAACUGAAAAAAGAUGAAGUCAGGAAAUGCAGAUGGAAAGGUUCUCCUAGAAAUCUCCACUGGAACACACCAGGCCUGGUGGAACAUUCUCGACAAGGCACUAACAGCUGAAUACACCACGCGCCCAUCACACCAGGUUUGGGCUUCCCAAAGGUCACGGAACUGCUGAAAAAUCGAACAUUUUCACUUCAAAUUUUGG